rnacentral:rRNA from 1 species
GACGAACGCUGGCGGCGUGCUUAACACAUGCAAGUCGAACGAUGAAGCCUUAGCUUGCUUUUGUGGAUUAGUGGCGAACGGGUGAGUAACACGUGAGCAACGUGCCCAGGACUCUGGAAUAACCGCGGGAAACCGUGGCUAAUACCGGAUAGGUGCCGAGGCCGCAUGGUCUUCGGUUGGAAAGUUUUUGCGGUUCUGGAUCGGCUCACGGCCUAUCAGCUUGUUGGUGGGGUAAUGGCCUACCAAGGCGACGACGGGUAGCCGGCCUGAGAGGGUGACCGGCCACACUGGGACUGAGACACGGCCCAGACUCCUACGGGAGGCAGCAGUGGGGAAUAUUGCACAAUGGGCGCAAGCCUGAUGCAGCAACGCCGCGUGGGGGAUGACGGCCUUCGGGUUGUAAACCUCUUUUAGUAGGGAAGAAGCGCAAGUGACGGUACCUGCAGAAAAAGCACCGGCUAACUACGUG